rnacentral:rRNA from 1 species
UACGUAGGUGGCAAGCGUUGUCCGGAUUUACUGGGCGUAAAGGAUGCGUAGGCGGACAUUUAAGUCAGAUGUGAAAUACCCGAGCUUAACUUGGGUGCUGCAUUUGAAACUGGGUGUCUAGAGUGCAGGAGAGGUAAGUGGAAUUCCUAGUGUAGCGGUGAAAUGCGUAGAGAUUAGGAAGAACACCAGUGGCGAAGGCGACUUACUGGUCCGGUACUGACGCUGAGGUGCGAAAGCGUGGGGAGCAAACAGG